CGUGGAGGUUGUGAGUGGUCAAUAAGGAAUCGGUCACUCCUUGUAGGAAGAGAGAACAUCCUAUGUGAUCUCAUAGGAUGAUGACUCUGACAGUCUCUGACCAGAGUAGAGAUGAACAGUAGAAAUAGUUUCUACUGAUUCAUCAACUGAGUCAUCAUCAUCAAAUCGAGAUACAUAUGAAUAGGUACUUGGGCUUGCCAUGAUUUCAUGCCCAUGAUCUGUCUGGGAUGUUGUGUGAUCGAAGAAUUGAAUUGUAUAGUAACUCACCACAGAAGGAUAAUUUUGAUAAUUUUACUAAAUUCUAAAUCUUUCGAGUAGUCAUGACACGUUGUUAGAUGUCAAUCUUGACUUGUGGACUUAUCUUCUAUGUAAUGG
rnacentral:lncRNA from 1 species